rnacentral:rRNA from 1 species
UACGGGGGGGGCAAGCGUUGUUCGGAAUUACUGGGCGUAAAGGGCUCGUAGGCGGCCAACUAAGUCAGACGUGAAAUCCCUCGGCUUAACCGGGGAACUGCGUCUGAUACUGGAUGGCUUGAGUUUGGGGAGAGGGAUGCGGAAUUCCAGGUGUAGCGGUGAAAUGCGUAGAUAUCUGGAGGAACACCGGUGGCGAAGGCGGCAUCCUGGACCGGCAUUGACGCUGAGGCGCGAAAGCCAGGGGAGCAAACGGG